rnacentral:rRNA from 1 species
AGUGAACGCUGGCGGUAGGCCUAACACAUGCAAGUCGAACGGCAGCACAGUAAGAGCUUGCUCUUACGGGUGGCGAGUGGCGGACGGGUGAGGAAUACAUCGGAAUCUACUUUUUCGUGGGGGAUAACGUAGGGAAACUUACGCUAAUACCGCAUACGACCUACGGGUGAAAGCAGGGGAUCUUCGGACCUUGCGCGAUUAAAUGAGCCGAUGUCGGAUUAGCUAGUUGGCGGGGUAAAGGCCCACCAAGGCGACGAUCCGUAGCUGGUCUGAGAGGAUGAUCAGCCACACUGGAACUGAGACACGGUCCAGACUCCUACGGGAGGCAGCAGUGGGGAAUAUUGGACAAUGGGCGCAAGCCUGAUCCAGCCAUACCGCGUGGGUGAAGAAGGCCUCCGGGUUGUAAAGCCCUUUUGUUGGGAAAGAAAAGCAGCAGGUUAAUACCCCGCUGUUCUGACGGUACCCAAAGAAUAAGCACCGGCUAACUUCGUG